AACUUUUAGCAACGGAUCACUUGGCUCUCGCAUCGAUGAAGAACGCAGCGCAAUGCGAUACGUAAUGUGAAUUGCAGAAUUCAGUGAAUCAUCGAAUCUCUGAACGCAUAUUGCGCUCUUUGGUAUUCCGAAGAGCAUGCUUGUUUGAGUAUCAGUAAACACCUCAAAGUCGUCAAUUUGUUUUGAAUGGCUUUGGACUUGAGCAAUCCCAACACCAGUCUUUACGAUCGGUGGAGGGUUGCUUGAAAUGCAGGUGCAGCUGGACAUUCUCCUGAGCUAAAAGCAUAUCUAUUUAGUCCCGUCAAACGGAUUAUUACUUUUGCUGCAGCUAACAUAAAGGGAGUUUGACCGUAUUGGCUGACUGAUGCAGGAUUUCACAAGGGUCGGCAACGAUUCUUGUAAAACUCGAUCUAAAAUCAAGUAAGACUACCCGCUGAACUUAAGCAUAUCAAUAAGCGGAGGCU
rnacentral:misc_RNA from 1 species